rnacentral:rRNA from 1 species
UAGGGAAUCUUCGGCAAUGGACGGAAGUCUGACCGAGCAACGCCGCGUGAGUGAAGAAGGUUUUCGGAUCGUAAAGCUCUGUUGUAAGAGAAGAACGAGUGUGAGAGUGGAAAGUUCACACUGUGACGGUAUCUUACCAGAAAGGGACGGCUAACUACGUGCCAGCAGCCGCGGUAAUACGUAGGUCCCGAGCGUUGUCCGGAUUUAUUGGGCGUAAAGCGAGCGCAGGCGGUUAGAUAAGUCUGAAGUUAAAGGCUGUGGCUUAACCAUAGUAGGCUUUGGAAACUGUUUAACUUGAGUGCAAGAGGGGAGAGUGGAAUUCCAUGUGUAGCGGUGAAAUGCGUAGAUAUAUGGAGGAACACCGGUGGCGAAAGCGGCUCUCUGGCUUGUAACUGACGCUGGGGCUCGAAAGCGUGGGGAGCAAACAGGAUUAGAUACCCUGGUAGUCCACGCUGUAAACGAUGAGUGCUAGGUGUUAGACCCUUUCCGGGGUUUAGUGCCGUAGCUAACGCAUUAAGCACUCCGCCUGGGGAGUACGACCGCAAGGUU